GUCUCUGCUCCUCUCGUUCCGAUUGGUCGGACGCUGCUCCGACCGACGAGUAGAUUUUUCGAACUGCCGCGCAUGCGCGGUGAUCACGUGAAGUCAUCGCGCGUCGCGGACGGGAUUAACGAGGAUGCGUUGUAUCGCGUACGCGACACUAUAUCCGUUUCCUAAAUGAUGGCGACUUUUGAAAGUUUUUUUUUACGCUUACGUCAGUCGUCUCGUGACGUCAGAAGCGGAAGAUCGAACGGAUGGAUAAAUUAAUAGGAGAAAAUUGAAGAUGAAUAAUUCUUGGAAAACGGCGUCAAACCGGACGAGUCUUAGUUGAAGAAAUCAGUUUCAAGGAAACUUCCUGCCUUCACUUACCUGCUACAUUGUUUUCUCCGUGGAAAAUGACCAAGAGCCACGCAAUUGAGGGAUCGGAAGGUGGCGUCAUCUUAUCGAGCAACAGUCGGCAAACCAGGACGAUGCAAUUCGCGUGAUGUGACAAUAAACAGUACAUUGAAGUCUCGAAAAAUCCAAACAAGCAGAAGUUUAACGCGAUCGUAAAAUUGGAAGAGUCGCUUAUUCAAGGAUGUUACGAGGCGCGAGGGAACGGAGUUGUGAAUAAUUCAGCGAUCACGACGACGAUUCGACGAAUCGACGAUGACGACGAUUCGCAAACAUAUACCGGAGUCAAAGGACAAAGAUUGCGCCGCGCACGAUCGUCCGGGGGAUGCCUUAUAGUGCGCGCUAAUGAAGCAGCAAGUCUUUGUGCUGCUUUUAUUCUCUUACGUCAUCAAAUCCAGCAGCGACGACGACGACGACGGCGACGGCAGCACGACCUGGCCGCGUUCUCAGCGCGUAGGAUGGCUUGCGCAAGGCGCAAUCAGGGACCGACCUCUCGCGGACCGUCCUGGAAGCGCGCCAGCUAAUGUGUUUUUCCUCUGACUUUAGGCAUUUCGGGCUAACGCAAAAUACAUACCAUUCUCCCAUUUACUAGGAAACGUUCAUCGUAAUGUUGGGAAUCUCAGAUAAACGGAUGAAUUAUAGCUAGCGUAAAACGAAGUGAACCAAUGUUAGAAAGUCAUUUUUUUGAUACAGGCAAAAUGAUGUAACAAUUCUCCUAUAUAAUUUAUUGAAUAUUCAAAUUACUACGAUUGGAAGAAGAAAAAAGAAAAAAUGUGAUCUCUAGAGACGUGUGUAUUGCUAUAAAACUUUGCGGUUAUAACGCAGAAACCGCGUUGCGUGACUUGCGACACAUCAUGACGAAGCAAACUCCUCUCGGGUGUAUCAUACUCGCGCACGCACGUUGCAUGAGAACAUGUUGCGUUCACAUCAUUUAAACCGCCUUCAUCAGUCUUUUUAUUUCUCUUUCGAGAUAUUCAGAUGUCAAAACAGCUUGAUCUCUCGUAUCGUCUCAAAACAAGAGGAACGAGUGGGCGAGCAGUACUGACCCAGUUGAUAGAACCGCGAACGAUAGACCCGCGUUGCCGUCGCGGGGAGGAGGAAAAGGACGGAGGAACAACGAGGAGCAGGAGGAAGGAGGAUAGGGAAGAUGAAAGGGGAAGGGGGAGGGAUGAUGCACGUAACGGCGGUGACUCACUCUCCGCGUGCGACGGCACGUCGAUCUUUGCACCCUCCGUGCCUCCUCCGCCGUGCCAUUCCCGGCCCCUCUUCGUCCCGCAACCUUUCCCGGCGCAUUUCCCGGCGGCGUGUAACGCGCCGCGCGUGCACACGUGACAUUUCGAGUAUAUCUCGAAUUAAACCGUAAACAUCGUAGUACAACCUUCGCGGCCACGCGGCACCACACGCCGGUGUCAAUGAUCCUUGCCUGCCACUUAUUGAAUCGCGCAUUCGCACGACGCGUGUGUCACUGUACACUCUGUUGUUGGAUGUUUCUUCCGUUUCUACAGGGUGACCGAGAAGUCGCGCGCCGCGGAGAUUUCGAAUGCGAGUGAUGGGAUUUUCAAGAGGAUAUGACUGUGCGCGGUCCCUCACUUUGCUCGACUCCAUGACGGAAUAUUCAAUCAUCUUAGAACACGUUUUCGAGUAUAAGAAAACACGCUGCAGCUCGCGCACUGUAUUCCUCGCUCAGGGCGAGCUGUUUCGCAGCGACCAAGGCGAACUUCUUCGUUCUCCAACUCGUCAUCGCUGCCGCUCAAUCGAGAUAUCCAGCGCUUAUAUCUUUCUACGUAUUUUUCUCUAUCCUAGAAUUAUUGCAAAACACGUUAUUUUGCGGUAAUACUGAUCGCCACGCAGCAAAGUUACACAAAAUGCUCGGAUCCUUAAAUACCCUUAGAGAGAGGAGAAGAGAGGAAGAGAGAGAAGGCGUGAAUACGUCUAUAGAUCGACGAGUUUUUCCACGCUUUUCAUGAGCAACUGCGAUUGGAAAUCAAAUCCGGGAGACUUUCGCUUAUCGGACGGCUGUUUCUCCACUAACAAUAAGCCACACUGUGGAAGUGUUUUUCCCCAGCUUCGCGUCAUGCCAUAUUUUCCUCGCGAAGUCGCCGCUAUACACGGUGAUAUCGCCUCGACGAAAAUCUUCCCGCGCCGCGCUCGCCGUGUAAAUCGAACGUUCGAUAACGGACGGUGGCGAGAGAAGGAGGGAGCGUGCGAGCGAGCAAACGAACGAGCAAGGGACGAUCUGGCAACAACGCCGAGUCGCAGUGCCGGAAUUGAAUUUCAAGCGCCCGAGGGACAGAAGAGGGGGCGGACCGACCGGCGCGGCCCUUUCUCUUUUGUAUAGGGGGCACGAGGCGCAUAACGAUUGCUGUCCGGCACGCUCUACUGGAUGUCCUAAAA